UUCCAGACUCCUACGGGAGGCAGCAGUGAGGAAUAUUGGUCAAUGGGCGCGAGCCUGAACCAGCCAAGUCGCGUGAGGGAAGACGGUCCUAUGGAUUGUAAACCUCUUUUGUCGGGGAGCAAAAGACGCCACGCGUGGCGUUCCGAGAGUACCCGAAGAAAAAGCAUCGGCUAACUCCGUGCCAGCAGCCGCGGUAAUACGGAGGAUGCGAGCGUUAUCCGGAUUUAUUGGGUUUAAAGGGUGCGCAGGCGGGAGAUCAAGUCAGCGGUAAAAUGUCGGGGCUCAACCCCGGCCGGCCGUUGAAACUGGUUUUCUAGAGUUGGAGAGAAGUAUGCGGAAUUCGUGGUGUAGCGGUGAAAUGCAUAGAUAUCACGAAGAACUCCGAUUGCGAAGGCAGCAUACCGGCUCCAUACUGACGCUGAGGCACGAAAGCGUGGGGAUCGAACAGGAUUAGAUACCCGAGUAAAA
rnacentral:rRNA from 1 species